CGUAGGGGGCAGGCGUUGUCCGGAUUUAUUGGGCGUAAAGAGCGUGUAGGCGGCCAGACAGGUCCGUUGUGAAAACUAGAGGCUUAACCUCUAGACGUCGAUGGAAACCGUCUGGCUAGAGUCCGGAAGAGGAGAAUGGAAUUCCUGGUGUAGCGGUGAAAUGCGCAGAUAUCAGGAAGAACACCCGUGGCUAAGGCGGUUCUCUAGUACGGUACUGACGCUGAGACGCGAAAGCGUGGGGAGCGAACAGGAUUAGAUACCCUGGUAGUCCACGCCGUAAACGAUGGGUGCUAGGUGUGGGGGGUGUCGACUCCCUCCGUGCCGAAGCUAACGCAUUAAGCACCCCGCCUGGGGAGUACGGCCGCAAGGCUA
rnacentral:rRNA from 1 species